rnacentral:rRNA from 1 species
CACAACGUUGAUAGGUCGGGUGUGGAAGCGUGGCAACACGUGGAGCUUACCGAUACUAAUAAGCCGUGCGGCUUAUCCA